rnacentral:rRNA from 1 species
GACGAACGCUGGCGGCGUGCCUAAUACAUGCAAGUCGAACGAACUCUGGUAUUGAUUGGUGCUUGCAUCAUGAUUUACAUUUGAGUGAGUGGCGAACUGGUGAGUAACACGUGGGAAACCUGCCCAGAAGCGGGGGAUAACACCUGGAAACAGAUGCUAAUACCGCAUAACAACUUGGACCGCAUGGUCCGAGUUUGAAAGAUGGCUUCGGCUAUCACUUUUGGAUGGUCCCGCGGCGUAUUAGCUAGAUGGUGGGGUAACGGCUCACCAUGGCAAUGAUACGUAGCCGACCUGAGAGGGUAAUCGGCCACAUUGGGACUGAGACACGGCCCAAACUCCUACGGGAGGCAGCAGUAGGGAAUCUUCCACAAUGGACGAAAGUCUGAUGGAGCAACGCCGCGUGAGUGAAGAAGGGUUUCGGCUCGUAAAACUCUGUUGUUAAAGAAGAACAUAUCUGAGAGUAACUGUUCAGGUAUUGACGGUAUUUAACCAGAAAGCCACGGCUAACUACGUGCCAGCAGCCGCGGUAAUACGUAGGUGGCAAGCGUUGUCCGGAUUUAUUGGGCGUAAAGCGAGCGCAGGCGGUUUUUUAAGUCUGAUGUGAAAGCCUUCGGCUCAACCGAAGAAGUGCAUCGGAAACUGGGAAACUUGAGUGCAGAAGAGGACAGUGGAACUCCAUGUGUAGCGGUGAAAUGCGUAGAUAUAUGGAAGAACACCAGUGGCGAAGGCGGCUGUCUGGUCUGUAACUGACGCUGAGGCUCGAAAGUAUGGGUAGCAAACAGGAUUAGAUACCCUGGUAGUCCAUACCGUAAACGAUGAAUGCUAAGUGUUGGAGGGUUUCCGCCCUUCAGUGCUGCAGCUAACGCAUUAAGCAUUCCGCCUGGGGAGUACGGCCGCAAGGCUGAAACUCAAAGGAAUUGACGGGGGCCCGCACAAGCGGUGGAGCAUGUGGUUUAAUUCGAAGCUACGCGAAGAACCUUACCAGGUCUUGACAUAUUAUGCAAAUCUAAGAGAUUAGACGUUCCCUUCGGGGACAUGGAUACAGGUGGUGCAUGGUUGUCGUCAGCUCGUGUCGUGAGAUGUUGGGUUAAGUCCCGCAACGAGCGCAACCCUUAUUAUCAGUUGCCAGCAUUAAGUUGGGCACUCUGGUGAGACUGCCGGUGACAAACCGGAGGAAGGUGGGGAUGACGUCAAAUCAUCAUGCCCCUUAUGACCUGGGCUACACACGUGCUACAAUGGAUGGUACAACGAGUUGCGAACUCGCGAGAGUAAGCUAAUCUCUUAAAGCCAUUCUCAGUUCGGAUUGUAGGCUGCAACUCGCCUACAUGAAGUCGGAAUCGCUAGUAAUCGCGGAUCAGCAUGCCGCGGUGAAUACGUUCCCGGGCCUUGUACACACCGCCCGUCACACCAUGAGGGUUUGUAACACCCAAAGUCGGUGGGGUAACCUUUUAGGAACCAGCCGCCUAAGGUGGGACAGAUGAUUAGGGUG